rnacentral:rRNA from 1 species
AACGUACGCUGGCGGCACGCCUAACACAUGCAAGUCGAACGAAGUAGCAAUACUUAGUGGCAGACGGGUGAGUAACAUGUAGGUAUCUGCCCUUUGGCCUGGAAUAACACGAGGAAACUUGUGCUAAUACCGGAUAAGUCUUUACGGAGAAAGCUUUAUGCACCAUUGGAUGAGCCUGCACUUGAUUAGUUUGUUGGUAGGGUAAUGGCCUACCAAGACUGUGAUCAAUAGCUGAUUUGAGAGGAUGAUCAGCCACAUUGGGACUGAGACACGGCCCAAACUCCUACGGGAGGCAGCAGUGGGGAAUCUUGCACAAUGGAGGAAACUCUGAUGCAGCGAUGCCGCGUGAGUGAAGAAGGCCCUUGGGUUGUAAAGCUCUUUCGUCGGGGAAGAAAAUGACUGUACCCGAAUAAGAAGGUCCGGCUAACUUCGUGCCAGCAGCCGCGGUAAUACGAAGGGGCCUAGCGUAGUUCGGAAUUACUGGGCUUAAAGAGUUCGUAGGUGGUUGAAAAAGUUAGUGGUGAAAUCCCAGAGCUUAACUCUGGAACUGCCAUUAAAACUUUUCAGCUAGAGUAUGAUAGAGGAAAGCAGAAUUUCUAGUGUAGGGGUGAAAUUCGUAGAUAUUAGAAAGAAUACCAAUUGCGAAGGCAGCUUUCUGGAUCAUUACUGACACUGAGGAACGAAAGCAUGGGUAGCGAAGAGGAUUAGAUACCCUCGUAGUCCAUGCCGUAAACGAUGUGUGUUAGACGUUGGAAAUUUAUUUUCAGUGUCGCAGGGAAACCGAUAAACACACCGCCUGGGGAGUACGACCGCAAGGUUAAAACUCAAAUGAAUUGACGGGGACCCGCACAAGUAGUGGAGCAUGUGGUUUAAUUCGAAGAUACGCGCAGAACCUUACCAACACUUGACAUGUUCGUCGCGACUCUAAGAGAUUAGAGUUUUCGGUUCGGCCGGACGAAACACAGGUGCUGCAUGGCUGUCGUCAGCUCGUGUCGUGAGAUGUUGGGUUAAGUCCCGCAACGAGCGCAACCCUCACUUUUAGUUGCCAUCAUUAAGUUGGGCACUCUGAAAGAACUGCCAGUGAUAAGCUGGAGGAAGGUGGGGAUGACGUCAAGUCCUCAUGGCCCUUACGUGUUGGGCUACACACGUGCUACAAUGGUAUCUACAACAGGAAGCAAGACUGCGAAGUUAAGCAAAUCCCUAAAAGAUACCUCAGUUCGGAUUGCACUCUGCAACUCGAGUGCAUGAAGCUGGAAUUACUAGUAAUCGUGGAUCAGCGUGCCACGGUGAAUGCGUUCCCGGGUCU